rnacentral:rRNA from 1 species
UACGUAGGGUGCAGGCGUUAAUCGGAAUUACUGGGCGUAAAGCGUGCGCAGGCGGUUUCUUAAGUCAGAUGUGAAAGCCCCGGGCUUAACCUGGGAACUGCGUUUGAAACUGGGAGACUUGAGUGUGGCAGAGGGGGGUGGAAUUCCACGUGUAGCAGUGAAAUGCGUAGAUAUGUGGAGGAACACCGAUGGCGAAGGCAGCCCCCUGGGUUAACACUGACGCUCGAUGCACGAAAGCGUGGGGAGCAAACAGG